GACAGAGGUCCCAAGCGUUAGGCGGAAUCACUGGGCUUAAAGCGUGUGUAGGCGGAUCCGUAAGUACCUUGUGAAAUCCCACGGCUCAACCGUGGAACUGCUUGGUAUACUGCGGGUCUUGAGCUAUCUAGGGGCAACUGGAACAAACGGUGGAGCGGUGAAAUGCGUAGAUAUCGUUUGGAACGCCAAUGGUGAAAACAGGUUGCUGGGGAUAUGCUGACGCUGAGACACGAAAGCCAGGGGAGCAAACGGG
rnacentral:rRNA from 1 species